rnacentral:rRNA from 1 species
CCGCGGGAUUAGAGUUUGAUCCUGGCUCGAAUCAACGCUGGCGGCGUGCCUAACACAUGCAAGUCGAACGAGAAAGUGGAGCAAUCCAUGAGUAAAGUGGCGACCGGGUGAGUAACACGUGACUAACCUACCUUCGAGUGGGGGAUAACCUCGGGAAACCGAGGCUAAUACCGCAUAACAUCGUGAGAUCAAAGCAGUAAUGCGCUGGAAGAGGGGGUCGCGGCUGAUUAGCUAGUUGGCGGGGUAAUGGCCCACCAAGGCGAAGAUCGGUAGCCGGCCUGAGAGGGCGCACGGCCACACUGGAACUGAAACACGGUCCAGACUCCUACGGGAGGCAGCAGUGGGGAAUUUUGCGCAAUGGGGGAAACCCUGACGCAGCAACGCCGCGUGGAGGAUGAAGUCCCUUGGGACGUAAACUCCUUUCGACCAAGACGAUAAUGACGGUACUGGUGGAAGAAGCACCGGCUAACUCUGUGCCAGCAGCCGCGGUAAUACAGAGGGUGCGAGCGUUGUUCGGAAUUAUUGGGCGUAAAGGGCGCGUAGGCGGCGCGGUAAGUCACCUGUGAAAUCUCCGGGCUUAACUCGGAGCCUGCAGGCGAAACUGCCGUGCUGGAGUAUGGGAGAGGUGCGUGGAAUUCCCGGUGUAGCGGUGAAAUGCGUAGAUAUCGGGAGGAACACCUGUGGCGAAAGCGGCGCACUGGACCAUAACUGACGCUGAGGCGCGAAAGCUAGGGGAGCAAACAGGAUUAGAUACCCUGGUAGUCCUAGCCCUAAACGAUGAUUGCUUGGUGUAGCCGGUACCCAAUCCGGCUGUGCCGCAGCUAACGCGAUAAGCAAUCCGCCUGGGGAGUACGGUCGCAAGGC